GCAAUCCCGCGAGCGGUUCUCCUCCUCCCAACCGCUCCGGGUCGGUGGCCGGCUUCUCCUCCCGCCGGCGAUCAUGGAAAGGACCGGGUCCUCCCCCCGGUCUUUUUCU
rnacentral:sRNA from 1 species